rnacentral:rRNA from 1 species
GACGAACGCUGGCGGCGUGCUUAACACAUGCAAGUCGAACGGGUCUGCCCUGUUUUUUGCGGGGUGGGUCAGUGGCGAACGGGUGAGUAACACGUGAGUAACCUGCCCCUCCCUUCUGGAUAACCGCUUGAAAGGGUGGCUAAUACGGGGUGUUCUGGCUGUGCCGCAUGGUGUGGUUGGGAAAGAUUCCCUUUUGUGGUGUUUUGGCGGGGGAUGGGCUCGGGGCCUAUCAGCUUGUUGGCGGGGUGAUGGCCUGCUAAGGCUUGGACGGGUAGCCGGCCUGAGAGGGUAGGCGGUCUGACUGGGUCUGAGGUACGGCCCAGACUGCUGCGGGGGGCAGCAGUGGGGGGUAUUGCACAAUGGGCGGAAGUCUGAUACAGGGACGUCGCGUAAGGGAUGGAGGCCUUCGGGGUGUGAACCUCUUUCGCCUGUGAAGAAGGUCCUGCUCUUUGGGGGGGGGAUGACGGGAGCCGGGUUAAGAAGCGCCGGCUAACUACGUG